rnacentral:rRNA from 1 species
CAAGGUCUCCGUUGGUGAACCAGCGGAGGGAUCAUUAAUGAGUUACUAAACUCCAAAACCCUUUGUGAACCUUACCGUCGUUUCCUCGGCGCGUGCUGCUGCUACCUGGAGCUACCCUGGAAGGCACCUACCCUGUAGUGGUUGUCUGCCAAGAGCUAUCAUGUCAGGCACCUACCUCUGUAGUGGUUGUCUGCCAUGAGCUGUCUUGGCAGGCACCUACCCUAUGGUGGUUGUCUGCUAAGAGUUAUCCUAGCAGGCACCUACCCUGUAGUAGUUGUCUACCCUGGAGCUACCCUGUAGCCGCGUGAAGGCCCGCCGAAGGACCGUUAAACUCUUGCUUCUACAACUGUAUCUCUGAACACGUAACUGAAAUAAGUUAAAACUUUCAACAACGGAUCUCUUGGUUCUGGCAUCGAUGAAGAACGCAGCGAAAUGCGAUAAGUAAUGUGAAUUGCAGAAUUCAGUGAAUCAUCGAAUCUUUGAACGCACAUUGCGCCCACUAGUAUUCUAGUGGGCAUGCCUAUUCGAGCGUCAUUUCAACCCUUAAGCCCUGUUGCUUAGUGUUGGGAGUCUACGGCUUCGGCGUAGUUCCUGAAAAUCAGUGGCGGAGUUAGGGUACACUCUCAGCGUAGUAAUAUCUCUCGCUCGUGUGGUGGCCCUGGCUGCUGGCCGUAAAACCCCCUAUUUUCUAGUGGUUGACCUCGGAUUAGGUAGGAAUACCCGCUGAACUUAAGCAUAUCAAUAAGCGGAGGAAAAGAAACCAACAGGGAUUGCCCUAGUAACGGCGAGUGAAGCGGCAACAGCUCAAAUUUGAAAUCUGGCCCUCGUGGUCCGAAUUGUAAUUUGUAGAGGAUGCUUUUGGUGCGGUGCCUUCCGAGUUCCCUGGAACGGGACGCCGGAGAGGGUGAGAGCCCCGUACGGUUGGACACCUAGCCUCUGUAUAGCUCCUUCAACGAGUCGAGUAGUUUGGGAAUGCUGCUCUAAAUGGGAGGUAAAUUUCUUCUAAAGCUAAAUACCGGCCAGAGACCGAUAGCGCACAAGUAGAGUGAUCGAAAGAUGAAAAGCACUUUGAAAAGAGGGUUAAAUAGCACGUGAAAUUGUUGAAAGGGAAGCGUUUGCGACCAGACCUUUUCCGGGCGGAUCAUCCGGCGUUCUCGCCGGUGCACUUCGUCCGGUUUAGGCCAGCAUCGGUUUCCUUAGGGGGAUAAAUGCUUGGGGAACGUAGCUCUUUAGGGAGUGUUAUAGCCCCUUGCGUAAUACCCUUCGGGGGACCGAGGACC